AAUAUUGGACAAUGGGCGAAAGCCUGAUCCAGCAAUGCCGCGUGAGUGAUGAAGGCCUUAGGGUUGUAAAGCUCUUUUACCCGGGAUGGUAAUGACAGUACCGGGAGAAUAAGCUCCGGCUAACUCCGUGCCAGCAGCCGCGGUAAUACGGAGGGAGCUAGCGUUGUUCGGAAUUACUGGGCGUAAAGCGCACGUAGGCGGCUAUUCAAGUCAGAGGUGAAAGCCAGGGGCUCAACCCCGGAACUGCCUUUGAAACUAGAUAGCUUGAAUCCAGGAGAGGUGAGUGGAAUUCCGAGUGUAGAGGUGAAAUUCGUAGAUAUUCGGAAGAACACCAGUGGCGAAGGCGGCUCACUGGACUGGUAUUGACGCUGAGGUGCGAAAGCGUGGGGAGCAAACAG
rnacentral:rRNA from 1 species